GUUAGAAGCAAGUCACAGGUCUUGCCCACACUCAGUGAGAGGGAUUACAUGAAUGUGUGACCACCAGGAGAUGGUAACAAUUGGGGUCAUGAGGGGAUAUGACUGCUACAAUCUCCCAUCAUCAAAAACAAAAACAGGAAUCUAUCAAAGCAAGAGCACCAGUGAAGAAUCUAUUUGGCUGAUAUGGACCCUGUUCUUGCUGGUUAAUGAUGAGCAUCACUGUUCAGCUAGAACACUUGCAUGAUCAUUACAUGGAUGACUCCCUGUGGAAAUGGGAAAGGAAUAAGGAAUACAUAUUUGGAAUGAAGAACAGUUUACAAACACUUGUUUGUUGGUACUAAUUUACAGAGAAUAGUGC
rnacentral:lncRNA from 1 species